CGAGAGACGCUGCGGCGUGCUUAACACAUGCAAGUCGAACGGGCCUGCUGGCUUGGUUGGUGGGUGAGUGGCGAACGGUGAGUAACACGUGAGUAACCUGCCCUCUUCUCUUGGAUAACUGCUUGAAAGGGCGGCUAAUACGGGAUGUUCUGGCUGCCUCGCAUGGGGUGGUUUGGAAAGAUUCGGCCUGGUUUUGGUUGUUUUGGUGGGGGAUGGGCUCGCGGCUUAUCAGCUUGUUGGUGGGGUGAUGGCCUACCAAGGCGGUGACGGGGUAGCCGGCCUGAGAGGGUGGACGGUCACACUGGGACUGAGACACGGCCCAGACUCCUGCGGGAGGCAGCAGUGGGGGAUUUUGCACAAUGGGCGCAAGCCUGAUGCAGCGACGCCGCGUGAGGGAUGGAGGCCUUCGGGUUGUGAACCUCUGUCGCCGGUGAUGUAGGCUCUGCUUUGUGGGUGGGGUUGACGGUAGCCGGGGUAUGAAGUGCCGGCUAACUACGUG
rnacentral:rRNA from 1 species